GGCGAACGGGUGCGUAACACGUGGGCAACCUGCCCCUGACUCUGGGAUAACCCCGGGAAACCGGAGCUAAUACCGGAUACUCUCGGCCCACCACAUGGUGGGCCGAGGAAAGAUCUGUCGGUCAGGGAUGGGCCCGCGGCCUAUCAGCUUGUUGGUGGGGUAACGGCCUACCAAGGCGACGACGGGUAGCUGGUCUGAGAGGACGACCAGCCACACUGGAACUGAGAUACGGUCCACACUCCUACGGGAGGCAGCAGUGGGGAAUAUUGCACAAUGGGCGAAAGCCUGAUGCAGCGACGCCGCGUGCGGGAAGAAGGCCUUCGGGUUGUAAACCGCUUUCAGGAGGGACGAAGCCACUCGGGCGAAUAGCCCAGAGGGUGACGGUCCUCCAGAAGAGCCCCGGCUAACUACGUGCCUCACCCGCGGUAAUACGUACGGGGCAAGCGUUGUCCGGAUUUACUGGGCGUACAGAGCGUGUAGGCGGCCAAUCAGGUCCGUUGUGAACACUGGAGGCUCAAUCUCCAGAGGUCGACGGAAUCCGUGUGUCUAGAGUCCGGAAGAUCAGAGUGGAAUUCCUGGUGUACCGUGAAUGACAGAUAUCACGAAGAUACCAAUGGCGAAAGCAGCUCUCUGAUACGGUCUGACCCUUACACGCAAAACGUUGUAGCUAACACGAUUAUAUACUUGGUAGACCACACCGUGAACAGUGUGUGCUAGUGUGGGAGUGUCGACUCAUGCGUGCUUACUAAUCAUUAAGACCCUCCCGGGAUACCGCCCAGGAUACACUCAAAUGAAUUGACGGGG
rnacentral:rRNA from 1 species